UACGUAGGGGGCGAGCGUUGUCCGGAUUUAUUGGGCGUAAAGAGCUCGUAGGCGGUUUGGUAAGUCGGGUGUGAAAUCUCCACGCUCAACGUGGAGGGGCCACUCGAUACUGCGUGGCUAGAGUGCUGGAGAGGAGACUGGAAUUUACGGUGUAGCAGUGAAAUGCGUAGAUAUCGUAAGGAAGACCAGUGGCGAAGGCGAGUCUCUGGACAGCAACUGACGCUGAGGCACGAAGGCCAGGGGAGCAAAACGGG
rnacentral:rRNA from 1 species